rnacentral:rRNA from 1 species
UACGGAGGGUGCGAGCGUUGUCCGGAAUCAUUGGGCGUAAAGGGCGCGUAGGUGGCCCGGUCAGCGUGCAGUGAAAGCUCGGGGCUCAACCCCGAGUCGGCCGUGCGAACUGCUGGGCUGGAGCACUGUAGAGGCAGGCGGAAUUCCGGGUGUAGCGGUGGAAUGCGUAGAGAUCCGGAAGAACACCGGUGGCGAAGGCGGCCUGCUGGGCAGUGGCUGACACUGAGGCGCGACAGCGUGGGGAGCAAACAGG